AUGUUACUCCUCUUCUUCAUUUUCAUUAUUGUUCAUGAUAAUGAAGCUGCUGAGAGCAUUAAACCAGAUCAAACCAGCUAUUCUUCAACUGAAGGAAGCAGCAUCACACUGUCCUGCACAUAUGAAGGAUCAGUUGAUAGUCUUCACUGGUAUCAACAAAAACUUGGAUCAAAACCAGAAUAUUUAGUGCUGAUUAUUGGAGAUGGUGAAGAUGUUAAAACAGCUCAAGCGUCUGACCCAAGAAUCUCAAUGAAACGCUACAAAACAAAAACAAAGAAAACAAUGGAACUGGAGAUCAUUUCUGCUGCAGUAUCUGACUCUGCACUGAACUACUGCGCCAUGGAGCCCACAGUGACAGGAAAUCCAGCUAUACUGGCACUGGUCAAGGAUUAUCACUUCGUCCACAUCUAA